AUUGAACGCUGGCGGAAUGCUUUACACAUGCAAGUCGAGCGGCAGCGCGGGGGCAACCCUGGCGGCGAGCGGCGAACGGGUGAGUAACACAUCGGAACGUGCCCAGUCGUGGGGGUUAACGUAGCGAAAGCUACGCUAGUACCGCAUACGAUCUACGGAUGAAAGCGGGGGAUCGCAAGACCUCGUGCGAUUGGAGCGGCCGAUAUCAGAUUAGGUUGUUGGUGAGGUAAAAGCUCACCAAGCCUGCGAUCUGUAGCUGGUCUGAGAGGACGACCAGCCACACUGGAACUGAGACACGGUCCAGACUCCUACGGGAGGCAGCAGUGGGGAAUUUUGGACAAUGGACGCAAGUCUGAUCCAGCAAUGCCGCGUGCAGGACGAAGGCCAUCGGGUUGUAAACUGCUUUUGUACGGAACGAAACGGUGAGCUCUAAUACAGUUUGCUAAUGACGGUACCGUAAGAAUAAGCACCGGCUAACUACGUGCCAGCCGCCGCGGUAACAC
rnacentral:rRNA from 1 species